AUUGAACGCUGGCGGCAGGCCUAACACAUGCAAGUCGAACGAGUGGCGGACGGGAGAGUAAUGUCUGGGAAACUGCCCGAUGGAGGGGGAUAACUACUGGAAACGGUAGCUAAUACCGCAUACCAUCAGAUGUGCCCAGAUGGGAUUAGCUGGUUGGUGGGGUAACGGCUCACCAAGGCGACGAUCCCUAGCUGGUCUGAGAGGAUGACCGGCCACACGGGAACUGAUCCACGUCCCAGACUCCUACGGGAGGAAGAAGUGGGGAUUAUUGCCCACUGGGCGAAAGCCGGAUGCAUCAAUGCCGCGUGUAUGAAGAAGGCCUUCGGUUUGUAAAGUACUUUCAGCGUGGAGGCGUUACCCGCAGAAGAAGCACCGGCUAACUCCGUGCCAGCAGCCGCGGUAAUAC
rnacentral:rRNA from 1 species